AUAGGAUAACUAUAUUUGGUAUGUGCGUACCUUGCAAGGUCCUCAUGUCCGUCAGACAGUUUUUACUUGACCUCGACCUCAUUUCAUGGAUCAGUGAACAAGGUUAAGUUUUGGUUGUCAAGUCCAUAUCUCAGAUACUAUAAGCAAUAGGGCUAGUAUAUUUGGUGUAUGGAAGGACUGGAAGGUGUACAUGUCCAACUGGCAGGUGUCAUCUGACCUUGAAGUCAUUUUCAUGGUUCAGUGGUUAUAGUUAAGUUUUUGUGUUUUGGUCUGUUUUUCUCAUACUUUAUGCAAUAGGUCUACUAUAUUUGUUGUAUAGAAUGAUUGUAAGGUGUACAUGUCUAGCGGGCAGAUGUCAUCUGACCUUGACCUCAUUUUCAUGGUUCAGUGGUCAAAGUUAAGUUUUUAAGUUUUGAUCUUUUUAUCUAAUAUUAUAUGCCAAAGGUCAACUAUAUUUGGUGUAUGGAAAUAUAUUAUGAUCUAUAUGUCAGUCCCGCAGG
rnacentral:lncRNA from 1 species